CAAGUUCUCCCAAUAUGCUUAUGGAAUCACCUUAACGUCAUCGAUAACGAGCAUGGGCGGUAUAUUGGUCAUUGUUAGUCAUACAAUUUGUGAAAGGUGAGAAGAGGGAGAAAAACAGGGAUGGCAAGGGAUAGAGAAAGAGAGGGUAAUCUCUCGCCAGGACACCUACUCUCCUGCUUUCGCGAGUCUUGUGUUUGAUGGCUCGAGAUGGUGGCACGACUACGAUGUUGUGUUUCAAUGAGUCUUCUGAUAUGGAGUAAAUGUCUAUGAGAAACACGUGAACUUCUCGUUUCGAAUGAGACACCCGUUGUGCACGAGAUCGACGCACACUUUGACGAAAUCACCUAGACAUGUAAUAGGAGGUUGGAUUGGAGUUUACCAAAGGACAGAGUAACACAAUAGCCGCGGCGUAACUGGCAUCAUAUUUUUUUUUCGCCACGUUAAAUAGCAAUUAUAUCACGACCUGUUGGCGAUUGUGUGACGGGCAUUCCCACAGAGUUAUACGCAACAUUUAAAGCGCGUUCGUAAUCGAAUAAAAUGGAUGAGUCAUAUCGAGCGCGGGAGAACAAACGCGCAUUUCGCCAUAUUAUGAAACGACCCGUGAUCGAAGAAGAGCCUCGGGAAUUUCUAAGCCGCAACGAAUAUCUUACUGUAUUUAAUUGCAUCUCGUUCCACGUGUAGGUCUUUAAUUAAUUUAUGAAACGAUAAAUCUACACAUCAGAUUGGGACGAACAAAGUCUAAGAUGACGUUUGACAUUUGACGAGAUCCUUUCGAUCUCGCUGGUUUAAAGGAAAAAAGCGUGUUUUACGACUCGCGGUUAUCUUUAUUUAACGUUAAUUAGGAAUUGUGGGUAUAUCGAACGUAAAGAAAAGAAUAAAGAAGGAUUGAUGUACCGCAUUUUAUUGGGAAUGCAACGACGGAACGUAACGUGCUGUCGGAAAGACCGACUCGUAAAUCAUCGCAGCGCGUGCGGCUUGAACGGGGAAUUUCCCCUUUUUUCACACUCUUGUCAUUUAAACCGCAGAAAUGGAAAACGCGCGAUCGCCGCGUGGCAUUUAGACGGCGGUUAAGCUCGUAAAACUGUAACCUAUUUCCGCUUGCAACCGCACCACUAUCUACCUCUCGGCUAAUGCAUCGGUAAUGUGCAUCUCGUUAAAUGCAUGCGGAGAGAGCAAAGGGAGAAGGUGGCAACGUGCACUUUAGCCUAGGACAUGCUUCUAUCUCCCCGAUCUUUCCGGAAUCGUCAUUAAGAUACGCCGUAUACCGCGUCUCUCCCUCCCAUGGACCGAACACGGGAUGAGAAGAAGCCUCGUGGAGAAAAACGAAGGAGCGCACGAUGGCCCUAGACAUUGGGGGACCGCAUUUGCGCUUUG